CAAAAUUGAAGAAUUAUUUUAUAGUUUAACACUUUUUAUUUGUAGGGCUAUAUAUAUGCAAGCAAUGCUCAAUUAAGAUGAAUUUUUGUAAAAGUGACUAUAGCCAGGUCAAACUAAAUACAUGUAUAGAAGAAGAUAUUGAUCUAGACUCGCAGCUAAUCUUUCUGUCAGUGUCAACAACAACUGAACUUUCACAGCAGUCAACAUCAGAUUGGGAGACUGAUAAUGCUUGUAACAGAAACAAUUUCAACCAACCAAACAAGCAACAGAAACUUUCCAACUUUAAAACAUCAGUUAAAUCUUCCAUGGGAUGAUGUCUCAAAAAAUAACAGUUCAUCAUUUAUGGAGAUUUUAAUGUUAUGGUUUUUCUUUUACAAGAAAGUUAAUGUACACUUGUUUUAUAGUAAAACCUAUAGCCGUUCAAGUAUAAAAAAACACAUUCAACUUUAUUGAAAUUUGAAGAUUCAUAUGACUUAUUUUAAUUCUGUUAUCUCCGAGGAUGUGAUGUAGAGCAUUAUAGGUACAGUAAUCUUAACAGCUAUCCAAUUUCAUUCAAAAUUCUUUAUAAAUUUUGCACUGGUAUAUAUAGACUAAGUAAUUUGUUUUUCGUCUAGUUAUGGGAUUUUUUUUUAGAAGCAUUUAUGAUUUUCAUGUUUGUAUUGACCACAUUGCAGCAACAUAGAUAUAGGUACCUGGCAAAUCUUGCCUUGUUAGCAUAGUAGGCUCAAAGGGUCAUAAAAAAAUUUCCAUCAAGUGUCUGUUAAAAUCAUCUGUUUACAGUUUUCACUUUUAAACCAUCAUCUUAAUAACUUUAGAAGAAGUGUCAUACAUAUAUAUAUGUAUACAAAAUUUAAAAACUUUUCAAUAUAUAUAUAUAUAUAUUGAUAAAAGCUAUCAACAUGACAAGAUCUAAAUACCCAAAAUUUUUCUGAAAAAUUGGACAUAACAUCUAUGAGCUAUUGUCCCUGAAAUGUGUAAAUUUACAAAUUUUCACAGUUUUCUGCUACUAUCCGACAACUAUAUCAAUAUAUUAUAAGAAUAAAUUGCAAAAGUGGUCAGAAGAAACUUUUUUUUUACAGUCUGAACUUAUUCUGAAUUGUUUAACUUCUAAUUUAAAUUGAUUGCGUUUGAAAUAUGUGUGUUUUAUUGUUUUAGGUGCACAAUUUGUCAAUACGAUCUAUUUCGGCUCCUGGGAGCCUCUAGAUUUAUAAUGAAUAAUUUGUAUUUAUGUAUGAUUAUUUUCUUAAUGUAUUAAAUGAAACAUUAAUUAUUCUU